rnacentral:rRNA from 1 species
GACGAACGCUGGCGGCGUGCUUAACACAUGCAAGUCGAACGGAAAGGCCCUGCUUUUGUGGGGUGCUCGAGUGGCGAACGGGUGAGUAACACGUGAGUAACCUGCCCUUGACUUUGGGAUAACUUCAGGAAACUGGGGCUAAUACCGGAUAGGAGCUCCUGCUGCAUGGUGGGGGUUGGAAAGUUUCGGCGGUUGGGGAUGGACUCGCGGCUUAUCAGCUUGUUGGUGGGGUAGUGGCUUACCAAGGCUUUGACGGGUAGCCGGCCUGAGAGGGUGACCGGCCCCAUUGGGCCUGGGUUCCGGCCCAGCCUCCUCCGGGGGGCAGCGGUGGGAAUAUUGCACAAUGGGCGGAAGCCUGAUGCAGCAACGCCGCGUGCGGGAUGACGGCCUUCGGGUUGUAAACCGCUUUCGCCUGUGACGAAGCGUGAGUGACGGUAAUGGGUAAAGAAGCACCGGCUAACUACGUG